UUGAACCAUCGACUCACACAUUGGCCCAUUGAGUGAGUGAACAAAGCACCCACGUCGAACCGCCCGGCUACCGACUGAUGAAGAAGAAGAUUGUUGAAGAAGUUGAAAUUGGAAGUAAUUAAAAAAUCUUUAGACAAGUGAACGAAAACUCGGAAGAUCACGUAAAAUAUUACAUUAUGAUGUUGUAUAGUGACCGUGUUGCGGUUUUGUGAACUGUUCAAUGAAAAUCAAAGUGUUUCACUAUACAAUAGCUUCAUCGGGAAGCUAUUGUAUAGUGACGUGUUGCGGUUUUAUAAACUGUUAAGUGAAAACCUCCCAAAGUGUUACUCGAAUAUAUUUUCUUAGUAACUCUACUCAAAAUGAAAAUACUUGAAAUUUAUUUUCUUGCAGGACAAUAGCUGGGUGCGGUUGAAUUUUUUGUUUUAAGACAAUUGUCCAUAAGAUCAAAUGCACUGUUAGAAACAUCUAUAUGAAGAUGAAUUUCAAAAUUUGCUUUCGAUUUUUUUCUCCAAACACAUUGGCAUGCAACAGAAACUUCUUUUUGAAGGACUCUGUAAAAGUGACAAAAGAAGAGUAACUUUUUAAUUUCAACUGUGGCAUAAACUUGUCAGUUCUAUCACUCUGAAACUGGAAUGUGAUGCUUCCAUAUUUUUCAACCAAUCCUAAAGCAGAUAUUUCAAUCUAAAACUACAAACAGAUGAGGACUACGGACUACUAGGACUACGGUCGAUUUCAACUCCAAAGACAGCAAUAGAUUUCAGUUCUUGAUUUUCAUAUCCAAGACAGCAAUGAAUUUAGGCCCCAAAGGAAGCGAUAGAUCCAAACUUUAAAGGCAGGGAUGGAUUCAAAACUACAAAGAUGGCGAUGGAUUUCAGUCCAAAGGGCAUUUUAGGAUUUCAACCCCAAAGGCAGCGAUGCAUUUAAACCCCAAAGAAGGAGGUCAAUUUCAUUUUGAAAGACAGUGGGGGUUUCAGUUUCGGUUUUCAGGGUCCAAAACAGCGAUGUAAUCGAGCCUCAAAGUGACCAUUAGAUUCAAAGCUCCAAAGGCAGCAAGGGAUUCAAAUCCCAAAGGCAUUUUGGGAUUUCAACCCCAAAGACAGCGAUGGAUUCAAACUACAAGGAGAGAGGCUUAAGGAUUUCAACCCCAAAGGCGGAUUUGAAGUUCAACCCCAAAGGCAUUGAUGAAUUUCAACACCAAAGACAGUGAUGGAUUUCAACACCAGAGAUAUUUUAGAAUUUCUACACCACAGGCAGCGAGCGAUGCAUAUAAACCCAUGCACAGGUCAAUUUGAUUGCGGAAGACGGCGGAGACAUCAGUUUCAGAUUCGCAGGCUACAAGAGAUUGAAUUUGACCCCAGAAAGAAGCGUGAGAUUCAAUUACAUAAGUAGGUUUUCAGGAUAAAAUAUUUCAACUUCAAAGACUGUGAUGGAUUCAAACCCCCAAGGCAUGGAUGGGUUUCAACACCAAAGAGCGAUGGACUUCGACACCGAAGACAUUGAUAGAUUUCAAUACCAAAGAGCAAUGGAUUUGAACCCCAAUGGCAGCGAUGGAUUUCGACCCUGAAGGCAGCGAUGGAUUUCGACUCUGAAGGCAGCGAUGGAAUUCAACCUCGAAGGUGGCGAUGAAUUUCGAACCCAAAGGCAGCGAUGAAUUUGAACCCCAAAGGCGGCGAUAUGUUCAAACCCCAAUAGCAUGGAUGGAUUUCCAUACCAAAGAGCAGAGGAUUUCAAUUCCACCGCCAGCGAUGAAUUUCAAUCUCUAAAGCAGCGAUGGCUUUCGACCACAAAAGCAUCGAUGAAUUUUGACCCUGAAGGCAUGGAUAGAUUUCAACAUCAAAGAGCAAUGGAUUUCGACCCCAAUGGCAGCGAUGGAUUUCGACCCCGAAGGCGGCCAUGAAUUUCGACCCCGAAGGCAGCGAUGGAUUUCGACCCCGAAGCGGCGAUGGAUUUCGACCCCGAAGGCGGCGGUGGAUUUCAACUCCAUAGGCGGCGAUAUCUUCAAACCCCAAAGGCAUGGAUAGAUUUCAACACCAAAGAGCAAUGAAUUUCAACCCCAAUGGCAGCGAUGGAUUUCGACCCUGAAGGCAGCGAUGGAUUUCGACCCUGAAGGCAGCGAUGGAUUUUACCCCGAACGCAGCGAUGGAUUUCGACCCUGAAGGCGGCGAUGGAUUUAGACCCCCAAUAGCAGCGAUGGAUUUCAACUCCAUAGGCGGCGAUAUAUUCAAACCCCAAAGGCAUGGAUAGAUUUCAACACCAAAGCGCAAUGUAUUUCAACCCCAAUGGCAGUGAUGGAUUUCGACACUGAAGGCAUUGAUAGAUUUCAAUAACAAAGAGCAAUAGAUUUCAACCCCAAAGGCAGCGAUGGAUUUCGACCCUGAAGGCAGCGAUGGAUUUCGACCUUGAAGGCAGCGAUGGAAUUCAACCCCAAAGGUGGCGAUGAAUUUCGAACCCAAAGGCAGCGAUGAAUUUGAACCACAAAGGCGGCGAUAUAUUCAAACCCCAAUAGCAUGGAUUGAGUUCAACACCAAAGAGCAAUGGGUUUCAACCCGAAUGGCAGCGAUGGAUUUCCAUCCCGAAGGCAUGGAUAGAUUUCAACACCAAAGAGCAACGGAUUUCAACCCUAAUGGCAGCGAUGGAUUUCGACCCUGAAGGCAGCGAUGGAUUUUGACCCCUAAGGCAGCGUUGGAUUUCGACCCCGAAGGCGGCGAUGGAUUUAGACCCCCAAUAGCAGCGAUGGAUUUCAACUCCAGAGGCGGCGAUAUAUUCAAACUCCAAAGUCAUGGAUAGAUUUCAACACCAAAGAGCAAUGGAUUUCAACCCCAAUGGCAGCGAUGAAUUUCGACCCUGAAGGCAGCGAUGGAUUUUACCCCGAAAGCAGCGAUGGAUUUCGACCCCAUAAACUGCGAUGGAUUUCAACCCCAUAAACUGCGUUGGAUUUCAACCCCAUAAAUUGCGAUGGAUUUCGACUCCAAAAGCAGCGGUGGAUUUCGACUCCGAAGGCAGAGAUGAAUUUCAAUCCCAAGGGCAUUUUAGGAAUUCAACCCCAAAGGCAGUGAUGGAUUUAAAUUCCGAAGAGAGAGGUCAAUUUAUUUUGAAAGACACGGGUUCUCAGAUCCGUUUUUCAGGGUCCAAGACAGCAAUGAAAUUGAGCCCCAAAGGCACCAAUAGAUCCAAAACUCCAAAGGCAGCGAUGGAUUUCAAUCCAAAAGGCAUUUUAGGAUUUGAACCUCAAAGCAGCGAUGGAUUCAAACGCCUAGGAGAUUCAUUUCCAAGAGUGGGUUUUCUGGCUCCAGGAUUUCAACCCCAAAGGCAGAAUAUAAUUUCAACUCCAAAGACAUUUAAGGAUUUCUACACUACAGGCAGCAAUGCAUAUAAAACUCAAGGACAGAGGUCAAUUUCAUUGCGAAAGACAGUGGGGACAUCAGUUUCAGAUUCCCAGGCUACUAGACAUUGAUGAAUUUGACCCCAGAAGGAAGUAUGAGAUUCAAUUACAUAAGCAGGUUUUCAUCCUAGAGGAUUUCAACUUCGAAGGCGGCGAUGGAUUCAAACCCCCCAAAGGUAUGGAUAGAUUUCAUCCCCAAAGGCAGCGAUGAAUAUCAACCCCAAAGGCGGCGAUAUUAUAAAACCCCCAAGGCAUGGAUGGAUUUCAAUACCACAGAGCAAUGGUUUUCAACCCUAAUGGAAACAGUGGAUUUGAACCCCAAUGGCAGCGAUAGAUUUCAACCCCAAAAGCGGCGAUGAAUUUCAACCCCAAAAGCGGCGAUGAAUUUCAACCCCAAAGGCGGCGGUGGAUUUCAAUCCCAAAGGCUGCGGUGGGUUUCAACCCCAAUGGCAGCAAUGGAUUUGAACCCCAAUGGCAGCGAUAGAUUUCAACCCUAUGGCAGUGAUGGAUUUCAACCACAAAGGCGGCGAUGGAUUUCAAUCCCAAUGACAUGCAGCGAUGGUUUCAACCUCAACAGCAGCGAUGCAUUUCAACUUCAUUGAAUCUUCAAACCCUAAGGCCAGAGGUCAAUAUCAAAAGACUGCGAAGGGUUUCAGUUCCAGAUUUCUUGGUCCAAGGCAGCGAUAACUGAAACCCCCAAUACUAUCCAUGAUAAUUAUAAGAAUUUUUACAAUAAAUUUUAUUGAAAAUUGAGCUUUGCUACAUGGUAGCUCUUGUCAUUUACUGGUACCAGUAACUGAUGAAGCUAACGUGAAAAUUUUACAAUCGUUAUCAUGGAAACUAUUAUUAAUUUUCAUCAAAUGAAGGGUUGGAGUAUUCAUAAUUAUCAACCCUGAAGAAAAGAGUAGCUCGUAAAAGCAGCAGAUAAUUAUUUUUCUCUAAAGACAGUGAUAGAUGUCAACCUCAAAGAAAGCGAUGAAUUUCAACUCCAAAGGCGACAAUGGAUUCCAACCUUGAAGGCAUAGGAUUCAAACCCCAAAGGCAGAUAUUCCAACCUCAAGAAAUGGAUUUCAACCCAAAAGUCACCAAUUGAUUUCACCCCAUAUUUUCUGACACAAAGGCAGAUAUGAAGUUGAACUCCAAAGGCAUCGAUGUAUUCAAAUUAAAAAAGUAGACAGGAUUUAAGCCUCAAAGUUACCGAUGAAUAUGGGUAUUCUAGUCCAAGGACGAUAGACCUUGCCCCAAACAGUGGAUUCGAAUCUCAAAAGCAGAGAUGGGUUUCAACUCCUAAGGCAGAGAUGGAUUCCAAAACCAAGGGCAGAGAUGGAUUUCAACUUCGACAGAGAUGGGUUUCAAUUUCAACGGCAGCGAAGAAUUUCAAUCCCAAAGGCGGCGAUGGAUUUUGACACCAAAGGCAGCGAUGAAUUUGAACCCCAAAGGCAGCGAUAUAUUUUCAACACCAAAGAGCAAUGGAUUUCAACCCCAAAAACUGCGAUGGAUUUCGACUCCAUAGGCAGCGGUGGAUUUCAAUCCCAAGGGCAUUUUAGGAUUUCAAUCCCAAAGGCAGUGAUGGAUUUAAACCCCGGUCCUAGACAGCGAUUAAAUUGAGCCCCAAAGGAAGCAAUAGAUCUAAAACUCCAGAAGCAGCAAGGGAUUCAAAACUCCAAAGGCAGCGAUGUAUUUCAAUCCCAAAGGCAUUUUAGGAUUUCAACCCCAAAGCAGCAAUGGAUUCAAACCCCAGAAGAUUCAUUUUCAAGAGUGGGUUUUCAGGCUCAAGGAUUUUAAUUCCGAAGGCAUUCGAAGUUCAACCACAAAGGCAUAGAUGAAUUUCAAUACCAAAGACAGUGAUGGAUUUCAACCUCAUAUACAUUUUAUGGUUUCUUCACCACAGGCCGCAAUGCAUAUAAAACCCAUGGACAGAGAGAGGUCAAUUUCAUUGCCAAAGACAAUGGAGAUAUCAGUUUCAGAUUCUCUGGCUGCAAGACAUUGAUGAAUUUGACCCCAGAAGGAAGCGUAAGAUUCAAUUACAUAAGCAGGUUUUCAGGCUAGAAGAUUUCAACUUCAAACACGGUGAUGGAUCCAAACCCCCAAGGCAUGGAUGGAUUUCAACACCAAAGAGCAAUGGAAUUCAACCACAAUGACAGCGAUUUCGACCCUGAAGGCGGAGAUGUACUUCAACCCCAAAGCUGGCGAUGAAUCUCAACACCAGAGGCGGCGGUGGAUUUCAAUCCCAAGGACAUUUUAGGAUUUUAUUUCCAAUGGCAGUGAUAGAUUUAAACCCGGAAGAGAGAGGUCAAUUUCAUUUUGAAAGACACUGGGGAUUUCAGUUCCGGUUUUCAGGGUCCAAGACAGUCAAGAAAUUGAGCCCCAAAGGAACCAAUAGAUCCAAAACUCCAAAAGCAGCAAGGGAUUCAAAACUCCAAAGCAGCGAUGGAAUCAAACCCCAGAAGAUUCAUUUCCAAGAGUGGGUUUUCAGGCUAAAGGAUUUCAACCCCAAAGGCAUACAAAGUUCAAACACAAAGGCAUUGAUGAAUUUCAAUACCAAAGACAGUGAUAGUUUUGAUGGAUUUUGAACCUCAAAGACAUUUUAGGGUUUUUACACCACAGGUCACAAUGCAUAUAAAACCCAAAGACAGAGGUCAAUUUCUUUGCGAUAGACAGUGGAGAUAUCAGUUUUACAUUCUCUCGCUACAAGACAUUGAUGAUUUUGACCCCAGAAGGAAGCGUAAGAUUCAAUUACAUAAGCAGAUUUGCAGACUAGAAGAUUUCAACUUCAAAGGCGGCGAUGGGUCCAAACCCCCUAAGGCAUGGAUGGAUUUCAACACCAAAGAGCAAUGGAUUUCAACCCCAAUGGCAGCGAUGGAUUUCGUCCCCAAGGGCGGCAAUGGAUUUCAACCCCAAAGGCGGCGAUGGAUUUCAACCCCAAAGGCGCCAAUGGAUUUCAACACCAAAGGCAGUGAUGGAUUUAGACCACAAAGGCAGUGAUGAAUUUCAACCCCAAUGGCAGCCGAUGGAUUUCGACCCCGAAGGCGGCGAUGGAUUUCAACCCCAAAGGUGGCGAUGGAUCUCAACACCAGAGGCGGCGAUGGAUUUCAACUCCAUAGGCAGCGGUGGAUUUCAAUCCCAAGGACAUUUUAGGAUAUCAACUCCAAAGGCAGUGAUGAAUUUAAACUCCGAAGAGAGAGGUCAAUUUCGUUUUGAAAGACAGUGGGAAUUACAGUUCAGGUUUUCAGGGUCCAAGACAGUGAUGAAAUUGAGCCCGAAAGGAACCAAUAGAUCCAAAACUCCAGAAGCAGCAAUGGAUUCAAAACUCCAAAGGCAGCGAUGGAUUUCAAUCGCAAAGGCAUUUUAGGAAUUCAACCCCAAAGCAGCGAUGGAUUCAAACCCCAGAAGAUUCAUUUGCAAGAGUGGGUUUUCAGGUUCAAGGAUUUCAACCCCAAAGGCAUUCGGUAUUCAAUCACAAGACAUGGAUUUCAACCUCAAGACAUUUUAGGGUUUCUACACCACAGGCAGCAAUGCAUAUAAAACCCAAGGACAGAGGCUAGAUGAUUUCAACUUCAGAAACUGCGAUGGAUCCAAACCCCCAAGGCAUGGAUGAAUUUCAACACCAAAGCGCAAUGGAUAGCAGCGAUGAAUUUCAACCUCAAAAGCGGCGAUGGAUUUAGACCCCGAAGGCAGCGAUGAAUUUCAACUCCCAAGGCGGCGAUAUAUUCAAACCUCAAAGGCAUGGAUAGAUUUCAACACCAAAGCGCAAUGGAUUUCUACCCCAAUGGCAACCAUGGAUUUCGACACUGAAGGCAUUGAUAGAUUUCAAUACAAAAGAGCAAUGGAUUUCAACCUCAAUGGCAGCGAUGGAUUUCGACCCUGAAGGCAGCGAUGGAAUUCAACCCCAAAGGUGGCGAUGAAUUUCGAACCCACAGGCAGCGAUGAAUUUGAACCCCAAAGGCGGCGAUAUAUUCAAACCCCAAUAGCAUGGAUUGUGUUGGACACCAAAGAGCAAUGGAUUUCAACCCUAAUGGCAGCGAUGGCUUUCCAUCCCGAAGGCAUGGAUAGAUUUCAACACCAAAGAGCAACGGAUUUCAACUCCAAUGGCAGUGAUGAAUUUGGACCCUGAAGGCAGCGAUGGAUUUUGACGCCUAAGGCAGCGAUGGAUUUCGACCCCGAAGGCGGCGAUGGAUUUAGACCCCCAAUAGCAGUGAUGGAUUUCAACUCCAUAGGCGGAGAUAUGUUCAAACCCCAAAAGCAUGUAUAGAUUUCAACACCAAAGAGCAAUGGAUUUCAAACCCCAAUGGCAGCGAUGAAUUUCGACCCUGAAGGCAGCGAUGGAUUGCGACCCCGAAGGCGGCGAUGAAUCCCAAGGGCAUUUUAGGAUUUCAACCCCAAAGGCAGUGAUGGAUUUAAACUCCGAAAAGAUUGGUCAAUUUCAUUUUGAAAGACACUGGGGUUUUCAGAUCCGGUUUUCAGGGUCCAUGACGACGAUGAAAUUGAGCCCCAAAGGCACCAAUAGAUCCAAAACUCCAAAGGCAGCGAUGGAUUUCAAUCCAAAAGGCAAUUUAGGAUUUGAACCUCAAAGCAGCGAUGGAUUCAAACGCCUAGGAGAUUCAUUUCCAAGAGUGGGUUUUCAGGUUCCAGGAUUUCAACCUCAAAGGCAGAAUAGAAUUUCAACCCCAAAGACAUUUAAGCAUUUCUACACUAAAGACAGCAAUGUAUAUAAAACCCAAUGACAGAGGUGAAUUUCAUUGCGAAAGACAGUAGGGAUAUCAGUUUCAGAUUCCCAAGCUACUAGACAUUGAUGAAUUUGACCCCAGAAGGAAGUAUGAGAUUCAGUUACAUAAGCAGGUUUUCAGCCUAGAGGAUUUCAACUCCAAAGGCGGCGAUGGAUUUCAACCCCAAAGGCGGCGAUAUUAUAAAACCCCUAAGGCAUGGAUGGAUUUCAUUACCAACGAUCAAUGGAUUUCAACCCCAAUGGGAGCAAUGGAUUUCAACCCCAAUGGCGGUGAUGGAUUUUGAUCCCAAAAGCGGCGAUGAAUUUCAACCCCAAAGGCGGCGGUGGAUUUCAACCCCAAUGACAGCGAUGGAUUUCACCCCCAAUGGCAGUGAUGGAUUUCAACCAAAAAGGCGGUGAUGGAUUUUGAUCUCAAAGGCAAUGAUGGAUUUCGACUCCAAAGGCAACGAUGGAUUUCAAUCCCAAAAACUGUCAUGGAUUUCAACUCCAAAGUUCCAGAUUUUUUGGUCAAUGGCAUUGAUGGAUUUUAACGAUGGUUUUCAAUCCCAAUAACAUGCAGCGAUGGUUUCAACAUCAACAGCAGCGAUGAAUUUUAACUUCAUUGAAUCUUCAAACCCUAAGGCCACAGGUCAAUUUCAAAAGGCUGCAAAGGGUUUCAGUUCCAGAUUUCUGGGUCCGAGCAGCGAUAACUGAAACCCCAAAUACUAUCCAUGAUAAUUAUAAGAAUUUUCACAAUAAAUUUUAAUAAAAAUGAGCUUCGCUACAAGGUAGCUCUUGUCAUUUAUUGGUACAAUUAACUGAUGAAGCCAACGUGAAAAUGUUAUAAUCGUUAUCAUGGAAAGUAUUAUUAAUUUUCAUCAAAUAAAGGGUCGGAGUAUUCAUAAUUUUCAACCCUGAAGAAAAGAGUAGCUCAUAAAAGCAGCAAAUAAUUAUUUUCCUCUAAUGGCAGUGAUAGAUGUCAACCUCAAAGAUAGCGAUGAAUUUCGACUCCAAAGGCGACAAUGGAUUCCAACCUUGAAGGCAUAGGAUUCAAACCCCAAAGGCAUCGAUGUAUUGAAAUUAAAAAGUUAGACAGAUUUAAGCCUCAAAGUCACCAAUGAAUUUGGGUAUUCUAGUCCAAGGACGAUAGACCUCGCCCCAAACAGUGGAUUUGAAUCCCAAAAGCAGAGAUGGGUUUCAACUCCUAAGGCAGAGAUGGAUUCCAAAACCAAUGGCAGAGCUGGAUUUCAACUUCGACAGAGAUGGAUUUCAAUUUCGAAGGCAGCGAUGAAUUUCAAUCCCAAAGGCGGCGAUAUAUUUUCAACACCAAAGAGCAAUGGAUUUCAACCCCAAUGGCAGCGAUGGAUUUCAACCCCGAAGGCGGCGAUGGAUUUCAACCCCAAAGGUGGCGAUGGAUUUCAACCCCAAAAACUACGAUGGAUUUCGACUCCAUAGGCAACGGUGGAUUUCAAUCCCAAGGGCAUUUUAGGAUUUCAAUCCCAAAGGCAGUGAUGGAUUUCAAUCCCAAAGGCAGUGAUGGAUUUAAACCCCGAAGAUAAAGGUCAAUUUCAUUUUGAAAGACAGUGGGAAUUUCAGUUCCGGUUUUCAGGGUCCUAGACAGCGGUUAAAUUGAACCCCAAAGGAACCAAUAGAUCCAAAACUCCAAAAGCAGCAAGGGAUUCAAAACUUCAAAGGCAGCGAUGUAUUUCAAUCCCAAAGGCAUUUUAGGAUUUCAACCCCAAAGCAGCGAUGGAUUCAAACCUCAGGAGAUUCAUUUCCAAUAGUGGGUUUUCAGGCUCAAGGAUUUCAACACCAAAGGCAUUCGAAGUUCAACCACAAAGGCGUAGAUGAAUUUCAAUACCAAAGACAGUGAUGGAUUUCAACCUCAAAUACAUUUUAGGGUUUCUACACCACAGGCCGCGAUGGAUAUAAAACCCAUGGACAGAGGUCAAUUUCAUUGCCAGAGACAAUGGAGAUAUCAGUUUCAGAUUCUCUGGCUACAAGACAUUGAUAAAUUUGAUCCCAGAAGGAAGCGUAAGAUUCAAUUACAUAAGCAGGCUAGAAGAUUUCAACUUCAAAGACGGUGAUGGAUCCAAACCCCCAAGGCAUGGAUGGAUUUCAACACCAAAGAGCAAUGGAUUUCAACCACAAUGACAGCGAUGGAUUUCGACCCCAAAGGCGCCGAUGGAUUUAGACCACAAAGGCAGUGAUGAAUUUCAACUCCAAAACCGGCGAUAUAUUCAAACCCCAAAGGCAUGGAUAGAUUUCAACACCAAAGAGCAAUGGAUUUCAACCCCAAUGGCAGCGAUGGAUUUCGACCCCGAAGGCGGGAAUGUACUUCAACCCCAAAGGUGGCGAUGGAUCUCAACACCAGAGGCGGCGGUGGAUUUCAAUCCCAAAGACAUUUUAGGACUUCAUUUCCAAUGGCAGUGAUGGAUUUGUACCCCGAAGAGAGAGGUCAAUUUCAUUUUGAAAGACAAUGGGGAUUUCAUUUCCGGUUUUCAGGGUCCAAGACAGUGAAGAAAUUGAGCUCCAAAGGAACCAAUAGAUCCAAAACUCCAAAAGCAGCAAGGGAUUCAAACCCCAGAAGAUUCAUUUGCAAAAGUGGGUUUUCAGACUCAAGGAUUUCAACCCCAAAGGCAUUCGAUAUCCAAUCACAAAGGCAUAGAUGAAUUUCAACACCGAAGACAUGGAUUUCAACAUCAAAGACAUUUUAGGGUUUCUACACCACAGGCAGCAAUGCAUAUAAAACCCAAGGACAGACAUCAAUUUCAUAGCGAAAGACAGUGGAGAUAUCAGUUUCAGAUUCUCUGGCUACAAGACAUUGAUGAAUUUGACUUCAGAAGGAAGCGUAAGUUUCAAUUACAUAAGCAGGUUUUCAGGCUAGAUGAUUUCAACUUCAAAGACGGCGAUGGAUCCAAACCCCCAAGGCAUGGAUGAAUUUCAACACCAAAGCGCAAUGGAUGGCAGCGAUGAAUUUCAACCCCAAGAGCGGCGUUGGCAUUAGACCCCGAAGGUAGCGAUGAAUUUCAACUCCUAAGGCGGAGAUAUAUUCAAACCCCAAAGGUAUGGAUAGAUUUCAACACCAAAGAGCAAUGGAUUUUUACUCCAAUGGCAGCGAUGGAUUUCGACCCUCAAGACAGCGAUGGAUUUCGACCCCGAAGGCAGCGAUGGAUUUCGACCCCGAAGGCAGCGAUGGAUUUCGACCCCGAAGGCGGCGAUGGAUUUUGAACCCGAAGGCGGCGAUGGAUUUCAACCCCAAAGGCGGCGGUGGAUUUUACCCCAAAGGCGGUGGUGGAUUUUAACCCCAAAGGCGGUGGUGGAUUUCGACUACGAAGGUGGCAAUGGAUUUCGACUCCAAAGGCAGCCAUGGAUUUCAACCUCAAUGGCAUAGAUGGAUUUCAACCACAAAGGCGGCGAUGGAUUUCAACCACAAAGACGGCAGUGGAUUUCAACCACAAAGGCGGCAGUGGAUUUCAACCACAAAGGCGGCGGUGGAUUUCGAUCUAACAGGCAACAAUGGAUUUCAACUCCAAAAGCGGCGAUGGAUGUCAACCCCAAAAACUACGAUGGAUUUCGACUCCAAAGAACAGCAGCGAUGGAUUUUAACUCCAUUGAAUCUUCAAACCCUAAGGCAGAGGUCAAUUGCAAAAGGCCGCGAAGGGUUUCAGUUCCAAAUUUCUUGGUCUAACUGAAACCCUAAAUACUAUUCAUGAUAAUUUUAAGAAUUUUCACAAUUGAUUUUAUUAAAAUGGCGCUUCGCUACACAGUAACUCUAUCAGUAACUGAUCAAGCUAACGUGAAAGUUUUAUAAUCAUUAUCAUGGAAAGUACUAUUUUUUUUUUCAUCAAAUAAAGGGUCAGAGUAUUCAUAAUUUUCAACUCCAAAAAAAGGAGUAACUCGUAAAAGCAGCAAAGGAUUAUUUUCCUCCAAAGGCAGCGAUGAAUUUCAACUCCAAAGGCGACGAUGGAUCCAACCUCAUAAAAUGGAUUUCAACCCAAAAGUCACCAAUUGAUUUCAACCCAUAUUUUCUGGUAUAAAGGCAGAGAUGAAUUUAAAACUCCAAAGGCAGAGAUGGCUUCUAACCCCGAGGACAGAUAUGGAUUCCAACUCCAAGGGCAGAGAUGGAUUCCAACUCCAAGGGCAGAGAUGGAUUCCAACCUCAAGGGCAGAGAUGGAUUUCAACUUGUCAGAGAUGGAUUUCAACUCCAUCGACAGAGAUGAAUUCAAAUCCAACGACACAGAUGGAUUCCAACCCCUAAAGCAGAGAUAGAUUUCAACUUCAAGGACAGAGAUCAGAGAUGAAUUUAAAGUACAAUGACAGAUAUAGAUUCCAACGAAAUGGAUUCCAACCAAGGCGGAAAAACAUUCUAUGCCAAAGACAGAUGGAUUCCAACCUCAAAGGGAGGUUCAAAAGGUGAUGAGUUUUGUUUGAUGAGAGUAGAGUCUCGUGGGGAUUAUUUAGAGUCAUGUAUUCUGUCAAUGCUAGCUGUUUCCAAAAGUGAUGAUGAAUUUGGAAUCAGUGGAAUUGAAAAUCAGAAUUAUAUCGGCAACAGCAACUGUGGGUUCAAAACUCCAAGGGCAGUGACGGAUUCAAAACUCCAAAGGCAGCAAUGCAUUUAAUACCCAAGGACAGAGUUCAAUUCCAUUUCAAAAGAGAAUGGGGAUAUCGGUUCCAUAUAUUCAGGGUACAAGGCAACAAAGACUUCGAACCCAAAAUGAAGCGCUAGAUUCAAAUCCAUGAGCAGGUUUUCAGCCUCUAAGGAUGGAUUUUCAACUGCAAAGGCGGCAAUGGAUAUCAACCCUAAUUACGCGGUGGACUUCAACCACAAUAGAGAUGCAUUUCAACCCCAAAGGCAGCGAUGGAUUUUUAAAUUUGAAGGCGGCGAUGGAUUCCAACUUUGAUGGCAGAGAAGGAUUCCAACCUCAAAGUGAGAGAUCGAUUUGAAAUCCAAAGGCAGCAAUGGAUCUCAGGUCUAGUUUUUACGGUAGAAGCCAACAUGUGAUUCAAAAUUCAAGGAAUUCAAUGGAUUAAAUCUCUGAAGGCAGUGGAUUUCAACCCCAAUUGGUUUUAACCCUGAAAGCUGCAAUAAAUUUCUGGACUUUAUUUUCUGGCACAAAGACAGAGAUGGAGUUGAACUCCAAAAGCAUUGAUGUAUUCAAAUCAAAAGGGUAGACAGAUUCGAGCCUCAAUGCCACCGAUGAAUUUGGGUAUUCUAGUCCAAGGAUGAUAGACCCUACCCCAAAGACAGUAUUGAAUUCCAAACCCAAAAGCAGAUAUGGAUUUUAAUCCCUAAGACAUGUAUGUAUUUAAACUUCAAAGGCAGAGAUGGAUUCUAAUCCCAACGACAGAGAUGGAUUCCAACUCCAAAGGCAGAGAUGGACUUGUACCCCAAAGAAGGCAUUUAAUUUCAAUCAUAGUGAAUUUCAAAUCCAAAUUUUCACUACCAAAGACAGAUGGAGUUUAACCGCAGAGGUUUCAAAUCCAAAAAGUGGAAUUCAAUACUUAAAGCCAACAGUGGAUUCAGAUAUCAAAGAAGAUGGAGCUUACCCUAAAGUUGGAGAUGGAUUUUUACUUAAGGCAGAGAUUGAUUCAAACCCAAAAGGCAGCAGUGGAUUUCAGGUGUUCGGGUUUUCAGACUCCUAAAGCAGUGAUGGAUUUUUAACCCCAAAGGCUGAAAUGGAUUUCAUACCGGUAGGUAGAGAGAUUCAGGCCCCAAAGUGGAUAUGGAUUUCAACUUCGAAGGCAGAUAUGGAUUUAGAUAGGCAUGGAUCCCAAUUACAAGGAAGAGAUGGAAAUGAAUCUCAAAGACAGCAAUAGAUCUCGGAUGCAGAUUGUCAGGUUCAAAAGCAUCAGUGGAUUCCAACCCCAAAGGUAACAAUAAAUUUCUGGUCCCUACUUUCUGGUCCAAAGGUUCAACAUCAAAGGCAUCGAUUCAUUCAAAUCAUAAAGGAAGACAGAUUAAAGCCAAUGAUGGAUUACGGUGUUCUAGUCCAAAGAAAAUGGACCUCACUACACAGGCAGUGAUGAAUUUCAUUCAGUCCAAAAGGUGGAGAUGGAUUUUGACCCCAAAGGCAGAAAUGGACUUCAACUCCAAUGACUUCAAUGACAAGAAGAUUCCAACUUCAAAGGAAGAUACAAUAGGUACAAUACGUUGUGUUUGGGAUUUGGUGUCUUGUGAAGAUCAUUUAGAGUGAUGUAUUCUGUCAAAGGUACCUUUUUCCAAAAGUGAUAAUAAAUUUGGAAUCAAUGGAUUUGGGAUUCAGAAUUAUAGUGGCACUAGCAACCAUGGGUUUUAAUAGAUCUUAACUCCAACUGCAGUGAUAAAAUUCACUUACACUUGAAGUUUAUAUUUACUUGGAUUGGAAUAUAAACAAAUGGUGUUAGCGAUAUAUUUCAGCCUCAUGGCCAUGGUUUUCUUCUCCAAAUUUCAAUUGCAAAUAUGCAUUUCAACCUCACUGGCAGGGAUGGAUUUCAACCCCGAAGGCAGUGAUGGAUUUCAACCCCAAGGACAGGAGUCAAUUUUAUUCCCAAAGACAAGAUGGAUUUCAAGUUCCAGGUUUCAGCUUAGCAGGUCCAAAGUCAAAGAUGGAUAUAUACUCCAGAAGUAGAGGGCUUCAGAUUCAAAGGCAGCAAUGUUUGAAACCAACUCCAAAGGCAGACAUUUCAAUCCCAAAGAAUGAAUUAUGGAUUCCAACUCC
rnacentral:lncRNA from 1 species